rnacentral:lncRNA from 1 species
CAGUAACUUAUCAGAGUUGCCCAUUAACAAUACACCACAAUAAGGAGCAUAGCCUGAACUUUCCUCUUAUCUACCUGCAAUGCAGAUACGCACAGACAAUACCUCUACCAUCUGUUCUUGCUUCAAGAGUCUGUGCGCCAGUAAACAUAAAAUUCCCUAAAGUAGCUGUAAAAAUGCUGCGCUAUGCAAAUCACCUCAACCAUUUAAGUCUUUGACACUGCCUACAAAAAUAGCUGCCCAUAAAAGAGAAUCAGAUGCGGUGAAUAAUUCACAUGCAUGCCCUUGUGUGGGCGGGAGCUGGGUGCUGUUUGCUUUGACGUGGUGAAACCCACAGUUAGAAUCCAGACUUCUACCUAGAAUCUCAGUCUGAACACUUUCAAGGCAUUGACAGUCGCAGAACUGAAAUGAAUGAAGGUUCUAGUCACGGAGCCACAAUGUAACAGCAAGA